AGAGUUUGAUUAUGGCUCAGGAUGAACGCUGGCGGCGUGCUUAACACAUGCAAGUCGAACGGGCUCAUAUUGAAACCUAGUGAUGUAUGAGUUAGUGGCGGACGGGUGAGUAACGCGUGGAGAACCUGCCGUAUACUGGGGGAUAACACUUAGAAAUAGGUGCUAAUACCGCAUAAGCGCACAGCUUCGCAUGAAGCAGUGUGAAAAACUCCGGUGGUAUACGAUGGAUCCGCGUCUGAUUAGCUGGUUGGCGGGGUAACAGCCCACCAAGGCGACGAUCAGUAGCCGGCCUGAGAGGGUGAACGGCCACAUUGGGACUGAGACACGGCCCAAACUCCUACGGGAGGCAGCAGUGGGGAAUAUUGCACAAUGGGGGAAACCCUGAUGCAGCGACGCCGCGUGAGUGAAGAAGUAUUUCGGUAUGUAAAGCUCUAUCAGCAGGGAAGAAAAUGACGGUACCUGACUAAGAAGCCCCGGCUAACUACGUGCCAGCAGCCGCGGUAAUACGUAGGGGGCAAGCGUUAUCCGGAUUUACUGGGUGUAAAGGGAGCGUANACGGCAGCGCAAGUCUGAAGUGAAAUCCCAUGGCUUAACCAUGGAACUGCUUUGGAAACUGUGCAGCUGGAGUGC
rnacentral:rRNA from 1 species